rnacentral:rRNA from 1 species
AGUGAACGCUGGCGGUAGGCCUAACACAUGCAAGUCGAACGGCAGCACAGUAAGAGCUUGCUCUUACGGGUGGCGAGUGGCGGACGGGUGAGGAAUACAUCGGAAUCUACUUUUUCGUGGGGGAUAACGUAGGGAAACUUACGCUAAUACCGCAUACGACCUACGGGUGAAAGCAGGGGAUCUUCAGACCUUGCGCGAUUGAAUGAGCCGAUGUCGGAUUAGCUAGUUGGCGGGGUAAAGGCCCACCAAGGCGACGAUCCGUAGCUGGUCUGAGAGGAUGAUCAGCCACACUGGAACUGAGACACGUUCCAGACUCCUACGGGAGGCAGCAGUGGGGAAUAUUGGACAAUGGGCGCAAGCCUGAUCCAGCCAUACCGCGUGGGUGAAGAAGGCCUUCGGGUUGUAAAGCCCUUUUGUUGGGAAAGAAAAGCAGCAGGUUAAUACCCCGCUGUUCUGACGGUACCCAAAGAAUAAGCACCGGCUAACUUCGUG